ACAAAACUUAGCUGGGCCUGGUGGCCUGCACCUGUAGUCCCAGCUAGGAGCUUGUGAAACCUAAUGCCAAAAUCAGUGUUUGUGUACUGGAUUCACCAGGGGAGAAAAUGUUGAACCAGAUUCUCAACCUGUCUGAGCCUCCUGCCUUUUGUAUGCUUUAUGUAUUGUAAUAUUUAAUAAAAGGGAAACUGUA